CCAUAGCCCCGAUAGGAACGGCAUCCUUUUUUGUCAUUGCGAUUGUUGAAACGUUCAAUGCUGUAUUAAUGUCGUUCGCAAUGGCAAAAAAGAUAUAGUGGAUAGCGGGAUCAAGC
rnacentral:sRNA from 1 species